CUAUGAGUAGAAACACUCAUGGCGGAAGGAG
rfam:Acholeplasma oculi genome assembly, chromosome: 1